CAGACACGUUGCUUCCUGCAGAAUUUUAAACAAAUAUUUUAGUUUCUUCCUUUAUAUAGCGUAUUUGUUUGUUAUUGCAAUUACCGUUGUACAACGGAUUAAAAUAUUAUAGAAUAAUUAGUAUGAAAAUUUAAUAUAACGAUAUCGUUAUAUAACAAGCUCCAUACAUUCAAAACACGACUAUACUUGAUCUUUCAUAACUUAUAUCCUAUUUUCUAUAUUUCGCAGCUUGCGUAAAAAGUUUCAACUCGCUCUAAAGUUAAUACAAGACAUUGUAUGAAAAUCGAUUAACGAAGAUAUGUCAUUGAAGCUUAUUGUUACGGUUGAGCUUCCCCUAUCCGAACUAAUAGGGAGACAGAACUGUUCGGAUAAUGGAAUUUCGAAUGAUAGAACAAUUAAUUUUCUAAUAUGAAAUUUCUCAUUUAUUCAAAUACAGAUUAAGAUUACUUGGUAGUUUCUUUAAAUACUUAUGUGUGUCCCAUAUCGUUUUUGCUGUUGAGUCACAUAAUUUUUUCAACAUAAGUAACUGCAUAGGGUUACAUUUUUUUUUGCAUAUAUUUUUGCGAUUUCUAUUCCACUUACACCACUUUCGAAUUUUUCGAUCGAAAUUCAAGCGCCAUACCGAUCCAAUUCAAGUUCCAUACCAAACUCUUAUAAUCAGAAUUCACUCAAUCGAAUAAAGGAAAGAAUACAUUACAUGUCACUGCUAAUAAAAAAUGGACACAUUUAAAACAGAAAAGGGCAUCCGAAACAAGGUAACCCGAAAUAUUAUGUUCGGAUAAAUACAUUGUAGGUAUUGUGGGUACAGGUACGUAUCGUAGAACGUUCAGAUAUUAGACUAUUCGGAUAAUGGUUGUCCGGAUAAGAGGGGCUCUAGUGUACUCUCGAUUUCCCCUACCAUUUCGUCAAUACUUUUUGCGUCGAAUUGUAAUGUAAUAAUGCAAAUAAUGCAAAUAAUGCAAAUAAUGUGAAAUAUUACUCGAUAGUUAAAUUGUAAAAUAAUAUUUUGUAUUACCCCGUUUUAAUCAUAUUUGUGCAGUCUGCAAAACUACAUAAAUUAUCAGUUAAAUAUAAAAGGACAUUCUAUACUACUCGAUUUUAAUUAAAACAAAAAAUCGUAUUAUGAAUAUGUGAUUGGAUAACUUGUUAGUACAAUUACGAAUAUUGAUUAUCGAAUCUACGGAUAUACAUAUAUACGUAUAUACGUAGUAGUAAUUAUUCUACAUUAUGUAUUUUCUAUUUUGUUUAAUAGUUUAUAUCGUAUACUUUUUUCGUUAUUAAAAAUGUCGUUUUUUAAUUAUCGACAUCGCUGGUCACUAUUUUAUUUAUCGUUCUAAUAUGUCCUGUUUAAAUACAUGUGGUGUGUCAGCAGUAUCGUCGAUUAAUAAUUAAUUUAUUUAAUUUCAUACAGUGAAAGAUGACGCAAUUUAUGCGUCCAAAAGUAAUGCAUAUUUGUUUCACAAAUGAGGCUAUUAUUUUGUUGUAAUGAAAAAUAUAUAAAAGAAAUGAAGUUCUACAAAAUAUUAAGGCGAAUAAAAUUAAUUAUUAAUUAUUUUUUAUUAUUUAACUUAAUUAAUUAUUAAAUAUUAGACAUGUAAAUUUUUAAAUCAUCGCAUAUCGUAAUGAAGUUUUUUCAAACAAUUUCCAAGACAAUAUCCAACCUGAGAAUUCUUACAAGCGUAUGAUGUCUUUUUGUCUACCAUGUAAUUAACAAUAUUUACACCGUUUUCGUUUGAACACCUACUUAAUUUCGUUAUCAACCAUUAUGUGGGCAAACCAGUAGACAAAAAUUAAUUAGACGAUUAUCAAUCAGAUAAGAUGAAAAGAUAAUUUUCGAAAUUCAUUUUUUGUUUUGUUCUUUUGUGAAAAUAUGACUAAGAAAUGUGACACAUGUCACUUACAUGGCGCCAAUAUACGUAUAUAUAACUUAAGAUUUCCUUUCCAAAUAAAAGUAACCUAAGUAAUCGUAAAUAAAAGUAAUCAUAGGAUUACUUUACAUCUACUAGUAAUUCAAUGCAGCGGAUACUAAUACUAAUAUAAUUAUUUUUUAACUAUUCCAAGAAAAGCACUAUUAUCCUAACUGUAAGUAUCAGGUGUUCAAAAUUUAAUUUGAUUAAUUAAGAGAUACUUAGAAUGAAUUGGCAGACUGUACCAAAGGCUGUAAAUCGUAGUACCAAUGGAAUCUGGAGGUGGUUUUAUCGCUCAAAAUAAAAUAAAAAUUAACUAAAGCUUUCCUUUCUUAUCCGAUCACCCAUUCUAAUGCUUCAUUAUUCGAACUCUCUCUUAUUUGAGUGUGGUAUCCGAAAGCCGGAUACGUAUACGCCACUGCUUAUAAUUAUUAUCCAAACAACAGAGGUUUCGUAAUGUCAUCUUAUUAAAAGUAAGUUAAUGCUUCGUGAUAUCGUAAGUAAGAGUACAGUUAACAUGUGAUAAACGUGAAUAACAAGUGACUGAGGAUCGAAUGAAAGAGAUGAGAUACCUAAGGCUAAAGUAAAAAGAAGAGCGAUUCCGAGGAUAUAGAUAUGUAGGACAGAAUAAAGAUAGAAUAAAGAUAGAAUAAAGGAAAUACUCUGGCCAAUCUGAGAUGCUCAAGACGUUAUUGGUAUUUAAAUAAAAUACUUAUUCUUACAUACUUUGAAGUUCAAUUAGUGCAAAAAUUGAAACAAUUAAGUUAUUAGCUAUGUCUGCAAUUUUUAAUUUGAAAUUAAGAAAUAACAAAUAGGAAGAAAAUAAUUUUACUUACAUUCGUUCAUUAUGAACGAUGAACCUUGUUUCCACUUUGCGCUAACAAAACUGUAAAAUUCUCGACCAAUAUCAACUACGUCCCUCAAAUACACACUUUCGUACAUUCAUAAUUUUACAUUACAGAGAAUCUUGCUUAAUAAUAUAGGUAUCAAUACAGCAACGGAAUCUGAAGAGCAAUAAUAGUGAACACUGGACGACACUACAAGUUAAAGCUUGUGAAGCAACGAUAACUAUUCUGUAAUGUACAAUAUACCUGUAUAAUAUUUCACAGAACUCCAACUGGGGUGCGGGGGAGGGGUCAUUACCUCCGCGUAGUAUUUUUUUAAUUUAGAAAAUAUAUACAAUUGUUGUUUCGUAAACAUCAUUUUUAACAUAGUAAAUUCAUACAUGUUAAACAUCGUGUAACAUAAUAUUAGUAGCACGUAUUAGACUUUUUGUAAUAUGAUACUAAUGUAACUUUAUCGUGCUUACUAGUAAAUGAGAAAUAUUUGCAAUAUUUCGUCGCAUCGCGUUUUUGAAAUGGUCGACAGCUGCUUAAAACCACAGAAAUACUUUUAACACUAGGCUUACGGGCGUUUCGUAUAUACCUAUCUCUACGAGCACCCGUCAAAUUGACGGGUAAACGAAAAUACACAUUUUUCUUUAAAAAAUCGACUUAUUCAAAUUAAGUCUAAAAGGAACAAUAUUAGGUUUCGCGUUUGAAUGAGUUAUUAAUAAAUAAACAAUCUUUUUUUUAAAUUAUUACUAAAAAAAUUACAAUAACAUUAAUACUAGGUUUGCGGGACCCGCCAAUUUGACGGAUUUCGAAGUUCGAAAUGAAAUAUCUCAAGAACCAUAGCAUUAAUUUUAACCAUUUUGCAUUUUCCGAAAUAUGGAACAGGUUUAUAAGUAAUAGCCAGACUUGUUAUAAGCCAUAUGAAAAUAUUUCGAUAGAUGAGCAAUUAUUUCCAACGAAAGCCCGGUGCAGAUUUACACGAUAUAUGCCGAAUAAGCCCCAUAAAUUUGGCAUUAAAUUUUGGUUAGCAGUUGACGUCCAAACAAAGUAUAUUUUGAAUGGUUUCCUUUAUAUGGGGAAAGAUGAAACUCGAUGCUCAAUACCGUUGAGCGAGUUUGUAACACUAAAAUUAGUCGAACCAUAUUUACAACGAGGCAGAAAUAUAACGACAGACAAUUUCUUUACGAGCAUCCUGCUAGCUAAAAAAUUGCUAGCACAAAAAACAACUUUGGUUGGGACCAUCCGGUCGAAUAAAAGAGAACUGGCAAAACCAGCGAAGGAAAAAAAGGACAAGAUGACUUUGUUUUCCUCAGAUUUAUAUAAAUCAGAAAAUUGCACACUUACUGUGUAUAAAAGUAAACCUAAAGUAAAAGUCCUCCUUCUAAGCACCAAACAUACAGGUGUAUGAAUAGAAGAUAAUUAUAAACGUGCUCCAGAAACCAUUGCUUUUUACAAUAAAACAAAGUUUGGUGUGGACGUCGUUGACCAAAUGUGAAUGUGAAAUAGUGUGAAAGUCGGGAGUUUCCGAUGGCCCCUUCAAGUCUUUUUCAAUAUUUUGGAUUUGGCAGCGAUAAACGGGUGGAUAUUAUAUAAAGAGUGCACCAGAUCGAAAUUAUUCAGAAAGGAAUUCAUAUUUUGUUUAGCCGAGGAAUUAGCUGGAGAAAACAAGAGGAACAUUUGCCAAAGAUCAGGCGCUUCAUUUCUGUCACCUUCAAAGUCAGAAGUGCGAAAAAGUUGCCAAGUGGGUUAUUGCAAAAAAAAUAGAAGUAAUAAUUAUUGUAUAUAUUGCAAAAAGAUCGUAUGCGGAAAAUGCACGAACAACAUUCAGUAUAUUUGCAAAAAAUGUGCUCAAUAGAUAUGGUUACCCUGUACCGUUAAUGUUAUUGUUAUUUUUUUUAGUGAUAAUUUAAAAAAAGACUUUUUAUCUAUUAAUAAUUUAUUUAAAUAUUGUUCCUUUUAGACUUAAUUUGAAUAAAUCGAUUUUUUAGAGAAAAAUGCGUAUUUUCCGUCAAUUCGACAGGUCCCGUAGAGAUAGGUAUAUUACAUACAGAUUUCAAAAAUUAGAAAGCCUGGGAAAAAAUAAUUUUGUGUAUAAAUUCUAAAAUAGAUGAAAUGAUUAAUUUACGAUGCAAAAUGGUUAAAAUUGGUGCUAUGGUUUUUGAGAUAUUUCAUUUCGAAGUUCGAAAUCCGUCAAAUUGACGGGUCCCGUAAACCUAGUGUUAAUAUAGGGUAAAUUAUUUAAAUAAUUGAAUACAAAAUGUUGUUAAUACGUUCACUGCGGUGCGGGACAUAUAGAUCCCGUAACGAACCUACCUCCUGGGCGGCUUCUUUUUCAGUGGUCUUCCCCUAUUUGCGAAGUUAAUAUUUCAGUCAUUUUUCUACACUUCGCAACGAUAUAAAUACUAAUAAAUAAUAAUUGAACCUUUGUAUAGUAAAGUAACAUAAUAUAGUGAAAAAUUCUACGGAACUUAGUUGUACUAUAAUGCAAAAGACGUACCGGGCUGUUGUACAGGGAUUAUUUAUCCCGUAUCGCUAAGAAUGGAACAAUGCUUCUCGUUAUCAACAGAUACUACUAUACAAAUUUUUUAAAUACAAAAGUGCAAUACUAAGUAUAUGUUGAAAUGCGAAUGGGGUUACAAUAGUCUCGUACCGCUAAAUAGGAAAAUUCUUGAAAAAGUCACCGCAGUAAACGUUUUAAUAACAUCGAGUUGCUCUUUCUAUUUGACAAAUGCAAUCUUAUCGUAACGACGUGAUUUGAAUUCGAUUAAGCGUUAAUAACGGUCGAUUAAACAUUUCGUUUUUCCUCAAUAAUGGUGUGAACUGUAUUUAAAUCUUUUAUUUCUUUUAUCUUUAAUAUGUUUAUUUACAUCAAUUUGUAAUAUUUCGAUUGGACUAAGAUCUGGAAACUGACGAAGAGAGAAUGCCAUGGUGAAGCUAAUUGCAUAGAACAAUGGUUCGUUCGCUUAUAUGCUUUUGAAAUGUUUAACAUUUCAGUGUUUGCAAAUGGAAUCGGUCUAUACAUAUAUGUGCAAUAAAUUGAAUAGCACAUCGAUAUCAAGUCUCCAUUGAUAAAGGCGGACGAGACUUCGAAAUGCACAUAAGUUCUUGCCUGAUCAGGAAGGCUCCCGCCUAGACCAAGUACUCUGUAUCAUUGUUAUCAACCACCUACCUGAUCUAAUUUAUGAGGCUAAACCUCUGCCAUUUGCGGACAACCUUAAAUUGUUCAUGAGGAUAGGUAAUUACCUAUCACUCCGACUCACUUGAAUUACUAGACGGCCUUGAUAAGCUUUCUAAUUGGUCCACUUGCAACAAACUGUAUUUACAUAUACCAAACUGCCACGCGAUGAAAAAGUCGCGUAAUAAGAAUAAAAUUCUGUAUCCAUACGUACUUAAUGAUUCUCAGCUAUCUACGAUAAAUUGUCUGAGAGAUCUGAGCGUCGUCUAUGAUGAGCGAUUAUCCUACACCAAGCAUACCACUAAUAUCAACAGAGCAAACAGGUCCCUUGGAUUUAUCUUUCGAUUCUGUAAGGAUUUCCGAAACGCUUUUACACUGAAUACUCUCUAUAAUUCAUUAUUUAUACCUCACUUGGAAUAUGCUUACAUCAUAUGAUCUCUUUAUCAGUUCAAAUAUAUUCAACUUAUCGAAAGAAGGAAACAUAAUUUCCUGUCAUUUGCAUUACGUGCAUUUAGUUGUUGAAUCCAGAGUCGAAACUACGACUAUGACUCUGCACUCCGCACAUUGAAUAUGCUAACACUGUAGAACCGGAGAAAAGUUGCUGAUAUUCUUUUUUUGGCUGAACUUUGCUUUAGGAGACCAAAAAUUAUUAACUUUUUAUGCGCAAUCCUGUAAUUUUCAAUGCGUAAAAUCCGAAAAUGCAGGUUUGGAGUUGCGGAGACUAGUGGUUAAAAAAUUAUGAAUAUGUAAAAGUGAGCAUUUUUAGGGUAUUUUAUUUUAUAUAGGGUAUUGGCAGAAGCCAAAUGGCCAUUCCAAGAAGCCAAAUCCAUGCUUCCUCCAGUGAGUCGAGUUGGUGGAGUUACUGGCUGCACAUGGGUUAGGUUGAGUCAGACGUAUUUUACAUGUGUUCGCAAUUUCGCUCUGACAUCAUUCAAGGUCUACAGGUAAUAGCUUUUCCAAUGUUUUUUUUUUUAUUCUUUACAUUCACAAUUUGUCCAGUUUGGGCAUUAGGUAGAAUUUUCUAGCUGUUUGAUUAUCAUGUGGGUGGGACCCCCAGCGGGAUACCAUCUUCGUAUUUGUUAGGUCGUGUCCUUUGUGAGGUCUGCUGGGUGUUUCCUUUUCAGUCUUCUAUCCAUGUUUGAGGUGUUGAUCGUUUCCACAGCUAGCCGGUUUGGAUGUGUUCCUAUUCUUUCUUUGUAUUUUCCUGUGUAUCUGUUAAUUUUCUUUUUGACCGUUGGUAUUCCCAGGUCCUUCCGUAUGUCCUCGUUUCUAACGUACCAUGGGGCGUUUACUAUUGUUCUAAGAAUUUUAGUUUGUAUUGUCUCUAUUUUGUUUAUAUGGCUCAUUGCUGCUGUCCCCCACAGUGGUAUUCCGUACGUCCAGAUUGGUUUUAUGAUCGUUUUGUAUAUUUUUAAUUUAUUUUCUAUGCUUAAUUUGGAUUUUCGACUUGUUAGCCAAUGCAUUUGUCUCCUUGUUGUCUGUAUUUUGUCUAUUAUUGAUUUAGUAUGCUGUUUCCAUGUGAGUUGUGUUUCCAGGUGGAGUCCUAGGUAUUUGACUUGCCUUGUUUGCGGUAUGUGCGUGCCGUUCAGUAGGAUGUUUGGUGGUGUCUGUUUUCGUAGUGUGAAUGUAAUGUGGUUGCAUUUAUCGGGGCUUGCUUUUAUUUCUUUAUCUUGCAGCCACAUAUUUUUUUCUAUUUUUGUGAUAUGUUCUUGUAGUAAUUUGACUGCUGUUUCUGGGUUAGUGUGCCUGACUAGUACAGCUGUGCCGUCCGCGAAUGUCAGUAUUUUGCUAUUGGUAGUUGUUGGUAUGUUGGCUGUGUAUAGUGUGUACAGUACUGGUCCUAAGACGCUUCCUUGCGAAACCCCUGCCUUGAUGUCUUUGACUUCGGAGUAUGUGUCCUUGAUUUUUAUUACGAAGGUUCUGCUGCUUAAGUAAGAUUUUAGCAAUUGUUAUAUUUGCUCCGGGAAUUGUUUCCUGAUUGUUUGUAGUAGGCUUUCGUGGUUUAUUUUGUCAAAUGCUUUCUCUAUGUCCAUAAAUGAGCCUGUGCAUUUGCUCUAUAGUGGAGUGUCUGUUUCUGAAUCCAAAUUGGUAGUCUGGUAUUAAUUUUUCCUUCUCUAUUAUUGGUUUUAUGCGGUCGUAUAUUAUUUUCUCCAGUAUUUUAGAAAACACAGGAAGUAGUGAUAUUGGUCUGUAAGAUGUAGUUUGGUAUGGGUCUUUGCCUGGCCUAAACCACCUAAAUAACAUUACCUAAUUAACAUGUUACCUAAAUAACAUUAUGAUCUGUGCCAGUUUCCAUAGUUUAGGAAAGUAUUGAAUUCUUAGUAUUGCAUUGAAUAUUAUUGUAGUUAGUCUUAUCGCUUUUGGCGGAAGGUUUUUCAAGACUUUACCAUUAAUUAGGUCGAUUCCUGGUAUUUUAUUAUUUUUUGUUUUCUCGAUUAUGUUUCUAAUUUCUUGUGCUGUUGUUUUAGGUGUGGUGUAGUGUUUGUCAGUCGAGG